GAAAUAAAUUGCCCAAAUGUAAAAUCCCUAUUUUUAAGAUUUAGAGUUUCAUAAAAUUAUAACAAGAAUCCCAUUAUAAUUUCUAACAUACAAUUUUUUAUAUCGAAUUUCUUAAAUCACAAUAUAUAACACAAGACUUCGAUUAGGUCUUCCUGUAAUCUCUAUCUCUUAGGAUAAUUAAGUCUUGUACUGGUUUACAAAAGUAUCUUGUAGAAUGGUUAUAUGAACUAUGGACAUAAAUGUUGAAGAAAAAAAUAAAUGUUAAGCUUCUAUAUAGAGGCUUGAUCUAACUUUUGAAUAAAUCGAUUUCUUACAUUUCAAAUAAGCUUGUGAAUCAUAAUUUGCUUGUUAUUGCCUAAAACUAUUAAAGAUUUGAGAUAAAUAAUAAUUAAGAAGUUAAAUUGGAAAAAAAAUAAAAAUUUGGCUACUUGCAAAACCAUCUAUCUUACUUUUUGGUUUGGCAUCAAUUUAAUAAGUAUCCUUGUUUGUUGUGCAAACUUGUUUUGUUAAUCUAGGUCUGACGAUGAGCCUAUAGAUCCCAAGCAGUAACUUGAAGAGCGAUGCAAGGCACCAUGCACGCGACCACUCAAAGAAUAUCAGGUGAUUUUGACUGAAUGAAAAUAAAAUUUCCUUUUUUUGUUUUUUCUAAUUUAAUGUCUGCUUCUCCAUUUUUCAACUUUCCUGCCUUUUGUGUUCUUUUCACCUGAUACUUAGUAUUGCUAA
rnacentral:lncRNA from 1 species